rnacentral:rRNA from 1 species
GACGAACGCUGGCGGCGUGCCUAACACAUGCAAGUCGAGCGAUGAACCUUUCAUGAAUUUUUCGGAAUGAUUGGAAGAGGAUUAGCGGCGGACGGGUGAGUAACGCGUGAGCAACCUGCCUUAAACAACGGGAUAGCCUCGGGAAACCGGGAUUAAUACCGUAUGAGACCCCGCCUUCACAUGAAGAAGAGGUUAAAGAUUUAUCGGUUUAAGAUGGGCUCGCGUCUGAUUAGCUAGUUGGUGAGAUAAAAGCCCACCAAGGCAACGACCAGUAACCGGCUUGAGAGAGUGAACGGUCACAUUGGAACUGAGACACGGUCCAAACUCCUACGGGAGGCAGCAGUGGGGAAUAUUGCACAAUGGGGGAAACCCUGAUGCAGCGACGCCGCGUGAGCGAUGAAGGAAUUCGUUUCGUAAAGCUCUGUCCAAGGGGAAGAUAAUGACAGUACCCUUGGAGGAAGCCCCGGCUAAAUACGUGCCAGCAGCCGCCGUAAGAC